rnacentral:lncRNA from 1 species
GAUCUUGCUGUUGACUUUAAUGCAAAUGCUUCAAAUAUUAGAUUGAACCAUAUGAAACUGACACUUUUCCAGCUCUGUGGUUCUGAUCUGUGGCUGGGCCUGCACUAUUGGUGCAUUCUUCUGUGAAAGCCAGCAGAAAGCCCCACUGAAACGUGAUGAACUUUCACAGAUGCCCCUAGGCCCUAUUUUCCCAGACAGUGACUCAACAUCUGUCCCACUAGCUGGUCGUAUUUAAGAAAAGAUGACCAAGUUGCGUCUGAUGCUGGCUAGAAGAUCAGGUGGCAGAGAAGGGUCAGAGAUGAAUCCAGCCAGGCCUAUAAAGAUUAUGGAAGAUUCUGGGGGAGGAAUGGUCCAGAUGACAGUGGAUGCACACGCAGGUAGGCAAGGCACAGGCAAA